rnacentral:rRNA from 1 species
GACGAACGCUGGCGGCGUGCUUAACAUAUGUAAGUCGAACGAUGAAGCCGGAGCUUGCUCUGGUGAAUUAGUGGCGAACGGGUGGGUAACACGUGAGUAACCUGCCCUUGACUCUGGGAUAACUGCGGGAAACUGUCGCUAAUACCGGAUACGACCCUCGGAGGCAUCUCCUGGGGGUGGAAAGAAUUUCGGUCAAGGAUGGACUCGCGGCCUAUCAGCUAGUUGGUGAGGUAAAGGCUCACCAAGGCGACGACGGGUAGCCGGCCUGAGAGGGUGACCGGCCACACUGGGACUGAGACACGGCCCAGACUCCUACGGGAGGCAGCAGUGGGGAAUAUUGCACAAUGGGCGCAAGCCUGAUGCAGCAACGCCGCGUGAGGGAUGACGGCCUUCGGGUUGUAAACCUCUUUUAGCAGGGAAGAAGCGAAAGUGACGGUACCUGCAGAAAAAGCACCGGCUAACUACGUGCCAGCCGCCGCCGUAA